rnacentral:sRNA from 1 species
CACCNUCCUCACCACCCGGGACUUGUACCCGGGACGGGUGGCUACAGCCACACACGUCUCCUCCCUAGCAAAACA